GGGAAGCCCCGGGAGAACAAAGCUCCUGGCCUUCGGCCUCCGAAGAGUCGCAGAAGUGACCGCCACUGCCAGUACACAGGAGGAAGCGGGGAGCUGGAUCCCAGGAAGGUGGGGCGGGAGACAUCGCGCCCCGUAAUGGCAGGCAGGUUCUACUCUGCUUCCCGGAGGAGCCCCGUCCUUUCUCCCCUCCCCCGUCCCGGCCUGCAGAACCGGCGUUAGGCGGCCUCUCCGAUCGUGACCCGGAGGAGGACGGAGCGGCAGGGGGCGGCCGGGGGUCUCCCAGCCUCCGGCCUGCGCUUCCGCACUCCCGGGCUCGGAGCGUCGCCUCCCUCGGCAGCGCUUCGCCACCGUACUGUAAUUCCACACUCCCGCGAGCGCUGGGGUUGCGGGAGGGAGUUGGAACUGCAUCCGAUGAGCACGCCGGGAGACACGAAAAUUGGACACGUGGAGAAUUAGCCCGGCUGGAGAAGCGCGGGAUGCCGACUGAACAAUGGUUUCCAGCACCGAAGCUGGAGGGGGCACCUUCCCCACCCGAGCUCCGAAGGGCGGCUGCCUCGGUACACUGUGGGCAUACCCCCCACUCGCCCCCUCCCUGAGCCCGGGAAGGGAGAAGCGCGGGUCGUGCUUUGGGGAGUCCUUUCCCCAGAAACAAACCCCGGGUGGGCCUGGGCUCUGAGGUCACUGUGCCUUGGGUCUCCGGGGACUUCCAA